CGCGCCCGUCGGACGAUGGCACAGCCGGGCAUUCUGGGGGUUGUAGUUUGUACUUUUGUGAGGAAAGGUAGGAGGGGAGGACUUUUCUUGACCGCCUAUAACGGAAAACGAAUCUGAUCUCUCCCCACGCAUCGCUGCUCCGUUUACCCCGCUCGUGCGGGCGAGACGCGUAUUUUUGUAGCUUCCCUGAGAAAAAACCGGACUUAAGAGACCGGGGGAGGGUGCAGAACCGGACGGCAGUAGGACCUACCCGGCCGGUGAUGCUCUAUCCGGCUCCCUGCGGGCGGCGGCAGCGCGGAGAAGGCGAGCGCUGCGGGGGCCAGGCCAGGCCAGGCAGCUGCAGCGGCUGACAGGCAGGCAAGGAAAGAAGUUGGCGAGGGACAUCUGAGAAGGAUGGAUUGAUUGGUAAAGAUGGAGAGAGGCAGAGGAGGAGGAGGAGGAAGGAGUGUGGGGGGCUCUGGCCUACACAGAAACAUUUACUCCCAGUCCCAGCAGCAGUAUCAUUAUCCUGCCUCCUCUUCUCAGGCGGGCUGCAUGGAGAUCCAGGAGCUGGCCUCCAAAAGAGUAGACAUCCAAAAAAAGAGGUUUUAUCUGGAUGUGAAGCAGAGUUCCCGAGGCCGCUUUCUGAAAAUAGCAGAGGUCUGGAUAGGAAGAGGCAGGCAAGACAAUAUCAGGAAAAGCAAGCUGACUCUCUCCUUGUCUGUAGCUGCUGAGCUGAAGGAUUGUCUGGGAGAUUUCAUAGAGCACUAUGCCCAUUUGGGUUUGAAAGGCAGCCAGAGUCAUCGGAAUGAGCACACUAAUGGCAAAGAGCAAGAUUCAAGAAGGCGGCAACACCAUCACCCGCCAUCACCUCCAGCAUCAGUUGGAUCUGAAGAGCAUCUUCACAGCGUCUUAAAAACUGAGUAUAUUGAAAGAGACAAUAGGAAGUAUUACCUAGAUCUGAAGGAAAACCAACGUGGGCGUUUCUUAAGGAUUAGACAGACCUUAAUUAGAGGACCUGGCAUGAUAGGAUAUUUUGGUCACAGUUUGGGACAGGAACAGACUAUUGUCCUUCCAGCGCAGGGGAUGAUUGAGUUCAGGGAUGCUUUAGUCCAGCUCAUUGAAGAAUAUGGUGAAGGAGAUUUAGAAGAACGGAGGAGUGGAGGCGAUGAGCCUCCUGAACUUCCAGAGGGGACUUCCUUCAGGGUGGACAACAAGAGAUUCUACUUUGAUGUGGGGUCCAACAGGUAUGGUAUUUUUUUGAAGGUAAGUGAAGUGAGGCCUCCAUACCGUAAUACCAUCACUGUCCCAUACAAAGCAUGGACAAGAUUUGGGGAAAACUUUAUCAAGUAUGAAGAAGAAAUGAGGAGAAUUUACAACGGCCAUAAAGAGAAAAGAAUGGAUAUCAGAGGGGACAGUGGUGAAGAACAAGAGGGUCUUGAUUAGAUUGAUUUUCAGCAGACCAAGAAGCAAAAUAGAAAAGUGGCUAGAGGUACCGACAUGUUGUAGUUGGAAGAAGUUGCCUUUCUUUUUAACUUAUAAGACUUGCUGGAGGAAAGGGUCUUUGAACAUCAGCAGAGUUGUAAUAACUAGAUUCCUCCACUCACAUUUUCAAGGAUCAUCUCUACCAUAUUGACGCUAGCUGCAUUGGCAUUAGCAGAUGUUUCUUUCUGGCAGAAAAGAGGCACAGCUAAGUUGUGUUCUCACAUCCCCUUUUCCUCUCCAUUCAUACACCCCUCCAAUCAACAAAGCAGCUAAUUCAGACAGUCUAGCACACCCAAGGUUUCCAGAGAGUCCUAUUAUCGUAGAAGCUAUUCUGUGCCUCUUAAGACAAGCAGAGGACACUGCUUUCAGGAAGAAAAGACUUUAGCUGUCUGCCCCAAUUGGCCAGCUUCUGUAGUCCAGUUGUUCAUGACCUACUAGAAGUAGGACGAGAGAAGUAAAAUCAGCAGUGAGCAAAACUCUCCACACGCUUAAGGUCCAUUCUUCUCUGGUAUAUGGAAUAUGUGGUAGAAAGAUUAUUAUUUCUUUAAGGGUUGGCUUUUUUUAGUUAUUCUAGGAUCUAAUGUAGACUGUUUACUAAGAAAAAUGAGAGCUGAGAUCCAGGAGCUUUCUAUUAUGUAUAUGCAUCUGCUCUUGAUCUUAGGCUUCUUUUUAAAAUAAUCACUCCCAAUAAAGUUUUGUUGGAUUUCAUGAUUCUUAUGUGAAGCGUUCAUAUGAAGGUUCAUAUGAGGAAUAACAGUCUUCUGCAUUAGUGCUGUCAAAUUCUCAGUUUUGAAGAUUUUCUCCCAUUCUGAAUAGGAUUGUAAAUAUAAUGGUACAUAAAUCCAAGGAACAAUGCAUCAGAGCAAGCAUAAUGAAAAUGUAUGAGUGUGUUGUUGUGGUGCAUGAUACACGUGUGAAUUGUAAUCAACAUAUCAUGGGAUCUUUUUGAGGGAUCUGAGGGCCAGAGGCUUAUACCAUGAUGUGAGGGACUGAAAUUUAAUUCCUCUAUUUUGUCUUCUGUUAUGGUUGUAUUGUAUGUUUUAAAAAGGCAGUGUAAGGUCAAAAGGUUAGCCUAGGAAAUCAUUUACAGCUUGAAGUGAAAAGGUUAGCCCAGGAAACUGCGGACAAGAAUGCAAAAUCUGAUUGGUUACUUUAGAGGAGGGAGGAGUCGGUUUAGAGUAUAAAAGGCAGUGUUUGGAAAACCGGGGAGGGUGGGGGGAGAUUGAAAAAAUAAAGCCAGAGGAAGAGGGAUCAGAGGUGUGGCAGGAAAAAGGAAAACUGCUGGAGGCCUAAGGAACUUAUGAGACUGGCUGCGUUAGGGACACAGUCUUAGACAAGAAAGCUGGGUGUGUUUAUAACCUUUGCUCAUAAGGUUUUUAAAAUAAAAUAUUCAGAAAACAAUAUCUAAGAAUAUACAUUGGAUUGUUUUGUUUUCCUUUUUAAGUAAAAACAUAACUUGGUUGAGAUGUCUUGUUAUCUCUGAGUGUUGUUCCCCAUCCAUGCUUACUUGCUAUCCUAAUCUACCUGAGUUGUUGGGGAGUGGGGGAUGCUGUGAGCUGUUUAGUGGAGGUGGCCAGGGAAUAAAAACUUACACUUGGUGGCAGUGGUGAAAUCCAGAAGGUAGGAGAAGCAAGAGGUUGAUUUGCUUCCCUUCCCCGUCCCCCUUAUUCACAGGGCUGUGAAUGUGGUAUAUGCUCAAGGAUGGGUUGGUGAUUGGGUUCCAGAACAGUCAGAGAAGAGGACAAAGCAAGACACAAGUUCCUUUGGCACCUUCUCCUAGGGAGGCUCAGUCUGGGGAGCCAAGCCCAAAGGAUUUUUUAUAUAGGGCCAGCAGGGAUCCUAUUAGGCUCCCCAGGUCCUGUGACCCUUAUAGGCUCUCCAAGUCAUUCUUCCUAGUCAUUCUUGCUGACUGCUUGCUUCUUUUCUUUCUUUUCUUUCUUUUUGGACACUGUGGGUCAGCAAGACUUAAGGCAGCUAGUCCGUCUCCCUGUGAGCCACCUUGCUGGCAGAGAGAGUGAAGCACCAGAGCCCUGGCAUUUUACACCAUCUUACUGAGAUAUUUGAGCAAGCCUACAAUCAGUCAAUAACUUCAUUAUGGUCUUUGACCAAAAUGACCAGCAUAAGGCAAGAAAACAUAACAUUGGCAGCUGUUGAAGGCUAUUAAAAUCAAGGGAGUAUAAACAGUAAGAAAGCUAUAAAAUUGCUAAAUGGUUAGAACCUAUAAGGCUUAUAAAGACUGUAUUAUGGCAGCUGGAGCACAGAAAGUAUAAGCACCUUGUAUCAGUAGUUACAGUAUAACAUUAUAGGAGAGUAAAAGGUUUUGCAGCUAAAAGAGAUUAGAACUGUAUGGGUUAAAACUUGUUAAACUUGUGGGAUAGCUAAAAUCUGUAAGUAAAGGCUAUAGAGUUACUGUAGAAUUAAAAUGGAAAACUAUAAAAUUGUAAACAUUCAUAGAUUAUAGGUGGGGCUCUGUGCUGCAUCAGGUCUAGUUAGCAUUUACUGGUGCUCAGAGUCUGGUGAAUCUUGCACGCAGCUGUGCAGAACUUAGCAAUGUUUGUAGUAGAAGGAUUGCAGUCAGAGAGUAAUAGGGAGGUGUAGAAUUGAUGAGGGUGGCCAGGUAACCUAGACAGGGAGAAUGAGGGUAUUGCUGGAGUCUCUGUAGAAUGUGCAAUGAAGAAGGACAUGCUCUGUGAUUUCGACUUGCCUGAUGUUGCAUGGGCACAAGUGUUCCUGGAAAGGGAUCUUCCUGUAUCUUCCAUCUAGUACAGCCAAGAGGAGGGCACAGAGUGGACCAAGGUGAAGGCCCUUCUGUGCUUGGGGACCUCAAGCUGUGUAAAGUAAACAGCAGAUGUUGCUAUUAAGACUUUUUGAGAUAAGGAAGUUCAGGACCCUGCCGAAGCCAUCUUGGUUCUCUGUGUCCAUUAAACACUGUUUGAGGAGUGUUCUGGCCUGGUCAUGGCCCAUGGAGAGGAGGUGGGCAGGGAAUAGCCCAAGUGAUGCUAUUUUCGCCACUAGAGUUUGUUUCCCUGUGGAUUGGUAAUUGUCCUGUAGUAUUAGCGGGGAUAGGCCCAUUGGGAGGAAGGAUAGUCUUAGCCAGUAACGGAGUAUUGUCAGCCAUACUCUGGCCUCCACUUUCACCAGGCCCACCUUAGACUGGCAUUAGAAACACAACGGGGUGCUUGAAAUGUUGUUCUUAGGGACUUGGAAUGGGCAAGUUCCAGAGGGGCAAAGUUGGAGAAGGGUCCCUGCUGUGCGCCAUAGAGGAGUUGGGCCAGCAACUUGACUUUGAAUAAUUUAAGGGCUGCAGGUAUGUAUUGUCCCCCCUUGUACAGAAUAAUUUGAAGAUGGUGGCAACAUUCCUCUGGGUGUUUAAUGUGACAUGGUUGCCAUGGGUCUUCCUGAUGCCAGAGGCGUGGAGGACCACCUUCAGGGACUCAGCAAAGCACACUGCAAGUUUAUUAAAUAUGUCCCAUCUUUUAAAAAAGAUUUUUAAAAAACUUUAAUAUGCUAUUUUAGGUGGGGGGUGCUUUUUUCACUAGAUGGUAGAUGAAAAUGCUAAUGUCAGAUAGCUUUUCAUUAAGGAUUCUUGAUAAAAUUACCUUCCUCAUAUUGUGAACUAUAAACAAAGAGAUGGAAUAACUUUUUUCUGAAUUUCCCCCCCUUUUCCCCAGUUUUAUUUUGGACACCAGAAACAGUGGUUUGUCUAGUGCUGAUUUUAUUCAGGCUUAAUUCAACUUCCUGUCAAUAUAUACAGUUCCAGAGUAGUAGCUCUGUAUAUUUGUUAUAGAAUUCUGUGGUAUCUGAAAGACUAACACAUUUAUUGUGGUAUAAACUUGUGAGAUGGAGCUGCACCAGAUGCAAAAAGUAGUUGCUUCAGUGGGUAGGUAGAGAUAGCCUAUAAAAUUGACUUUUACUAAGUGAGGCCAAAGGAGGAGAUAGCUGUAGAUGUGUCACAGUACUACACAGAACACACAUGACUACACAAUCCAAUAAAAUUAUUACAAGUUCCAAUCAGUGUGACCAUUCCAGACUAGCAGCCGCUGGUGAUGAGUAGACAUAGCAAGAUCACAAGUUUACAAGAGCCCCUGGUGGCGCAGUGGUAAAACUGCCGCCCUGUAACCAGAAGGUUACAAGUUCGAUCCUGACCAGGGGCUCAAGGUUGACUCAGCCUUCCAUCCUUCCGAGGUCGGUAAAAUGAGUACCCAGAAUGUUGGGGGCAAUGUGCUAAAAUCAUUGUAAACCGCUUAGAGAGCUCCGGCUAUAGAGCGGUAUAUAAAUGUAAGUGCUACAUGAACUCCUACAAAGGGACAACCACUUUCUGUAGUGAGCUAGCCAUUCCUAGGGAUUGUUGGAACUAAGAUCCACAGUGUCAAAUGUGGUAACUAUUUCCCCAUUAGCAGCUUAAUGUUGGAGUCUCCCUUUGACACUUUUUGAUUGUAAUAUAGUGACUUUUUGAAGUCUUCUACACAAUAUCCUGGAUUUGAUCCUCCAUGGAUUUGAGUGUUGUUCUAAGUGUCUGAUGUAUAUCAAUGUAUCCCUUGUGGUGAGACUAACCUAUUUGGUUAUUAUUAUGGCAGAAGAGAAUUAUUGGCAGAUAAUGUUAUACGUUAUGUUAGGUGAUGUGCUCGUAAAUGAGCCCUUGAUGGCUGAUAAUGUUGGUCCUAUGAUUGUGUCAUUUGAGUAGAUGUAGGGACAGUUCAGGCCAGAAUUUGUUGUAAGGCCUAGUUUCUAGGUUUGUAGCUCUGAUGGGCUGCUGGUGGAUAACCAAACUAGAGAGCUGUCUCAAAAGAAGAAUAUAUGCAGUAGUGCUUGCUGAAAUAUUCCCAUUUUAGGCUUUGGUGGUUGGUUACUGGUAAGUCUUUAUGCUUAAGAACUUCUUGUGUGUAGCCAUCAGUUUUGAUAAUACCUACAGUAUUUGGUAGUAUGUGAUCUAGUACAUGUGUAUAUUAAAAUAUAUGCUGGCUGUGCUUGCUUGCUUGCAUCCCCAUUUUCUUGGUUAUCCGGACACCUGGAUAUUCAGUUGAUAUUGGUUCUCAAACUCCUGUAUUAGUGCACUGGUCAAUCAAGACCAUUUUGAACCUAUCUAGGGCUGCACACUUGCAGUCAGGCCUAUUCAGGGUGACAUACCUUCAGCCCUCCUGCAUCAUAAACAUUCAAUAGGGCCUGCAUGGAUCUGAAAAGCCAUUGGCUUUGCAAAAGAAAGUAAUUGCAGUCAGGUGUAUAGCUGUGGUUUUGCAGGGGAGCAGGGUCUUUUCCUUCACCUUCUGAGAUAAUUGCAUCCCCAUUGCAUCAUCAGUGAAGAAGGCCAACAUUGGGUCAUGCUCUCUAACAUCUGCCUGCCCUAGUACACAUGUUAAGGGUUGUGUGUCACAUCCUUGCUUCCUACUCCUGAGAGUCCAACCAGGCCACCCAGAACAAUAGAUCCCAACCGCCCAAUAAUCCUUAGGAGAGACUUUUCUUCAGCAGUAAGAUAAUGUUCCCUCUCCUAUCCACACUACAUCCUACACUGCUUCUUUUUGGAUGUAUUCUGAUCUUAGUCUCUGCAGGUCUUUUUUUUUAAUUAUUAUUUUUUAAUUUAGCUGCCCCCGCUGUUGCUGACAGAGUCUCUGGAAGAGGCUGGUCUGAGUUUCCUAGAUCUGAGUCUCAUCUAGCUGUUUGCCUUUUCUGCUCAGGCAUCACCACAUUAAAGCUGCACUUCUGCCAGCUUCAUCAAUCAUAGAUCCGCAGUCUGCAUCAUUAUCGCAGCCUUCUCCGUUUGUGAAGGAAGUCUGUGAUUGCAUUUUUGCAGCACCAAGCCUCCUUUGGUUUAUGUAGAGCAGGCAUUGGCUUGUUGCCCCUUUUAGGAAACAGUGUUCUGUGAAAUCAACAAGCCCCCCCCCAAAAAAAAAUCUGGCUUCUUGAUUCUAGCAGCAUGGGUGUUGUUUUUUUCUUCCUUUGUCUCCAUUGCACCACCAUGGAGAGAGGGGGCUACUGUUUUCACCCCUGCUCCUUCCAAAAUAAGUAAACAUGAAAAUGUGGAGAGUUUCUGCAUAAACAGCAUUAAAUAUUUAAAAUAUUUCAUUUCUAGUACCUGGUUUCCUGAAGCCUUCAUAUAAUUUAUAUUACUGUGUAUUGUCUGUUUAGCUUCUCAGCAUUUUAUGAAGUGAAGAGUGUAAAGUGUAAAGAAAAUAGCUGCAUACAAGAAAGCAUCAUUUUUUCUUAUGAAUGAAAAUCUAACAUGAAGUUCAGUAAUACUGUAUUCAUAUUCUUAAUUCAUUAGGUUAUAUUCUGUUGCUCUGGUCGUAGCAAAGAGAGCUUAAUACAUAGGCAAAUAACUAUUUUGCAAGGAUAGUCUUGAAUCUGGUUUUAAGAAGCAUUGUUUUGAAACCGACUCCCCAGCAAAGUGCAUGUUGAUGCAUCAGUAAAGCCUGUAAGAGGAGAAUACAGUUUAUUUCAGUCUGUGACUGGUCCUAUAAAGAGCCUGUUGCUCAUGUUUGCAGGCUGUUCAGGCGUACUUCAGCUCAAUUUCUGACUUCAUAGUAACAGAAAUUUCAGAAAAAAAACAUGUUCUGAAAGACUUGAAAUAAGCACUGGUACUUUACUUCCCAAAUUUGUCUUCUGCCAAUUAAGUUGAUGGACCUGUAUUGUAUUGUACAGCUAUAUGCAAUGUAAAUUGUUUGUACAUAAUUGUAAUCUGGAAGAUAGCACUGCAUAUUCAUUUAAACAUAGUGAAUUGUAAAGUGGAGCACACUUUCCAUGGCAUGUGUAGUACUUGUGCUCUCAGUUCUUACUUCUACUCUCUUAGGUACCAUAUCAGUCUAAUUAGGUUUGGGAUACUGACCUAAACCAUGAUCGAAGCAAGCACUUUAAGUACUCGUAGUCACUUUUCUUCUUACUAUAUGGAGCACCGCACUUUUUAUAAAUACAGUACUCCUAGCACUAAGUGUAAAACAUGUCCCUCCCCCAUUUUUGUGUAGUCUUUACAGGGUGUGUUUUUAAAAGGUGGUGGCUGUAUAAAGAGAGCUUUUCAUGAAUGUGACCACUGCCUGGUGCCUCUUGACUUCAUUAUAUCUUUAAGAAUUUCAUACACUGCUGAAAAGAGAAAAAAACAAUCCAAGCUAUAUUUUGUGACAUUUAAAAAUAACCGUUUAAUUACUGACAUCUAGACAGAUCUGAUCUGAAAAAGCAAACAAACUCAUAUGCACACCCAUAGGUGCACAAGCUUUCAAAAACACCAAAGACACAGGAAAAACAUUUAAAAUUGACCAGAACAACACAAGAGCAUUAGACUGACAGAAAAUGAUUUCAGAAAUAGAGUCUUGUACAUGUAACUUUUGGUAAUGGAAAUUUUUACCAUGGGUCUUCUCAUGGAUAGGCAAAAAAUGGUGGUGGGAGAAAACACCAAUCAAAAGUUAGUUCACUCUGUAUCUGCAUCAGUGCAGACACUGCAUCACAAUGCUAUUGCAAUAAACACAGCAUUGUGCCUGUGAAUUAAAGUUUGACAUUACUGCACUGUAGUUUCAAUUGUAAAGGUUUUUUUAAGCAGGAUAAAACUGCAGUGCAUUUAGACGAAUAGACAUGGCAAUCACUAUCCAUACUGCUACAUUUGUGGAAUAGUCAUAGCUUAUGGACAGUUCACUGAGGCAGGGAGUAGUUCUGUACAAUUUCCAUUGUUAAAUUCCUGUCUGCUAUAAAAAUUAACAUUGGUAUUCAUUCAGCUGUAGAAGAAAGUAAUCUGAAAAUGAUAUUUUUUCAAACCAUCAAAUUUAUGAUAUUAUUUGAAAACUUUAAAAGUGAAAUUCCGGGUUUCAUUUUUCCAGGCCUUAAAUAAUCAAAUUCGCAUUUAUCAAGAAUUCAAAUCUUCAUACCCUUUAAUGUACUCUUGAUCCAACUACCACAGUGCACAUACAGAAGGUGAUGUCUGUGCAUGCAUCACUGGAUUUAGAAUCAUGUGGGAUUCAUAGCGGCAUCUAUCUUUUAAGGCCACUUGUACAGUUCGUGCCAUUGUAUGAGAAAUAUUGGCUCUCAUACACAGUGACAUUAACGGAAGAGAAUUCUUGUAAGAGACCCUGAAUGCUGCUGCAGCUCCCUAAGCCAAGUCUUUCUGAGGGUCACAUUGCCAGUGGCUUCAUGGAUGGGAGAGCCCAGUAACAGGAUGAAACUCUGCUAGCAAAAUGUGCCCUCCACACAGUUUCUAAGCUCCCCCUUUCCUCUAUGAAUCUCCACCUUCAAAUCCUCCGAAUCUCCACCUGCAACACAGCCCCAUGUUGUUGCCACCUGCAACACAGCCCCAUGUUGUCCUUCAGCAACCCCUUUUUGGCAUGCUAAAGGGGAUGCAGCAGCACUGAGAGUUGCUUGCACUAACUCUUACACUGGUUCCGCCGUGUAUGUGAGCCUGUGAAUGCAGCCGGGAUCAAUUGGUGGUUAUUGAUGGCACCAUUUGUUCAUUCAGGGAUAAAGGCGGACUGAAUGCAGACUAUCAUAAUCAGUUAUGAACAAAGCUUGGUUGGAGCCUUACUCUUAAAAUGUUUAAAUAGGCCCUGUGUUGUACAUUCAAUCUAAAUAACAGGUUUGUUGGUUUUUAUACAUGACAUUUUCAUAGCGGAAAUAAUUCUGAAACAGCUUUAAAUACCUAAGUUUUUCUAUUUUGAAUUCAUUAUAUCGGCCAUACGUUGCAUCGAUUCUCUUGUAGCAGGGGUGUCUUUUGAAACGAUCCUUUUUAAAGAUUCCUUCCAUAUUUUGAGCAUUCAGUUAUGUCUCAUUGUCUUUAUCUUAAUACACAUACACAUGCGCGGGCACACAUUUAGCGGCUUCACUAUCUGUGGUAUUUGAAAACAGAUGCUACUCCAUAUAUAAUACAGCCAAAUGCUUUAGUGUGAUAUCGUCUUAAAAUGUAGCAAUGUCCCCUUCCCAAAGCUAAUACACAAUAAGUAUGAUCCACAAAUAGCUUAAGAUGAUGCAUUACAUUGAAAGGACAGGAUCCAAAGAGUAGCACAUGAGAUCCUCUGCAUGCACACAGGCUUUGGGGGGACCUCGUCCAGCCACAGCCCCCUCAAAGGUUUGCUCCUGUAAGUCAGGGGACCCUCCAGAGCUGCAUUCAAUGUAACACAAAGGGCUGCAUCCAGACGAGGAUGUGUAUGGGCCUCUUUGGAUCCUCUCCAUGAUAGUUUAAUCAUGUCUGAGGUACGUUAAAUGGUCUGCAGGAUGUGUGUUCAUUUUGGAGGUUUAGUAGAAGAGAAAUAAAGAGAAUUAGUAGUCCUCUUCAACUAGAUAUCUCUUUCCCAAUACAGUAUUCUCUUUUUUAAAACCUGCAAGUAAAAUGUUUAUGUACAGAUAUUUCCAAGGAAUGUGCUAAUAUUCUUGGAAUAACUUGCUGCAUAAAAAAAAAAUCAGAAAGAAAUUGUAUUGGCACACAGGCAGUGUUUAACAAUAGUCUGUGCCUUUUCUUUCUUUUUUUCCUUUUAAAAGCAUAUGUAGUCACUUUAAUUUUGCUUUUUUGUUUCCUUGCAUAAUUAUAAAUGUAUAAAGGUGAUUUCACAGCUGCACCUAUAAUCAAAAUACAGCAUUACAACAGUCAGGUUAAUCAGAACCAUGUGCAUAGCAGGUAGCAGUUUAUCCAGUGUGUGUAUUCUUCCCCAAUGGUACUAUUUUUCAGUAGAAUAUUCUUAACCAAAAGGUGUUUUAAAGUCAUGGCAUGAAAAACCGUAAAUGUAAAUGAGUACGUGUAAUGCUAACUAAAGGAAUUUCCUUAAACUUAUGUGAUGCUUAAUAUUUUCCUUAGGAAGCUUUUGUUUUAAAGGUAGAUCACUGUUCUGAAGGAUGUUGGUCCUAUGGAAUAAAAAUAAUAGAAAUAAAAUGCAUGUUACAAAUGUAGACAUGGUAAAGAAUUAAAUGUGAACUUACUGUACGAUACUGACUCUGUUUUCAAACAAUCUGUUUUACUGUUCUAUAGUUAACAUAUUUUUAAAAAAGCAAAUGUACUGUAAUUUAGCACUUUUUUCCUAUGUACCCUGUUCUCACUAUACUAGAGGUACGAAAUGGCAUAGAUGUGGAAUAUGUAAUCAUGCCUGCAUGAAUACUUUAGGGUUUUUGCUUUCCUUGAUGUGCAAGACUAAUCUUUGUAAACAUCAUCUUAAGUGCAAAAAACCCUUCUAUCCUGUCAAUCUCUGGCUAUACCAUAACCUUACAGGGUGCCAGAAUUCUAAGCAACUUAAAGUUCAGGGUCUCUUUACAUGUUCUCUUUUCCAAAAUAAAUCUAAUGCAAUUCAAAAUUUGGCCUUACAAGAAAAGUGUACCCUAAGACAUAGGUGAUUUGUAGGAUCAUCCAUUUGAGCCCUUAAACUCAGAUUUGAGCCGAAGGGUGGAUUCACAUAUGCCUUUAACAUAGGGGUUUGGAUAUGGCCCCAUGCACGCUAUCAAACAGAUGCACAUCUGAAAAUGAUCUUUGAUAGUAAAACACAUAGAGAUAUCAUGCCACUGGAAUGUAUCCCUACAUGCAUUACUAUGAAUGAACACUUCACUUAUGUGUCGAUCUGCAUGGUGGGGUGCACCAUAUGUACAAAAAUGGACUUGAACAUUAAAGGCACAUGCAAAUUCACCCUGAGAAAGUGUGCACGACACAAUAAAGUCACAUAAUCUAAUUAUAAACAUACAAAACAAUAGAUGAGAUAGAGUGUACUCUUGUGAAGAGACCUCUCAAGCAGUAUACUAAGUAAUAGCAACACUGAAGCGGGUAAUUUAAAUUAUAUAUCUUGCUAUCCGUUCUUGUUUCGGGGUAAGAAAUGAACAAAAGCCUUGUAGACUUGAGGUAAGAUGAUCGCACAGAUGGAAGCAAAGGUGCAUGCAAGUAGAUCAAUAUGUUGAAGACUGGAGAUACUGGUGACUGACAAGUAUUUUUUCAAAGACAGGGUACUGGGUAUGGACAGGUAUAGGAUAUCGGUUAGAGGAAGGAGAUUCAAAGAUGAAAUAAUAUAAGUAAAUUUUGCUGUAUAGAUUUUGGCUGUGCUUGUACAGAAUUGAGCCUUAGUACUUAGUUCAGUAUUGCAUUACAGAGCACGUUUGAAUGCUCUCUCACAUCAAAACACUUGCUGGCUAUGGAAAGCUAGCAUGUCAUGGGGAAAGGGUUAUAUCAUGGUAUUUUCCAUAAUAUACUCAUUUUCUACGAACAGAGAAUUUCCCACACAUUCAAACUUCCAGUCCCUGCUUUUGGAAGUAGUAUUGUUGCAGAAAGACUGUGAUACAUGCUUCUUCUUCUUUUCUUUUCUUUUUAAUGUGGAUGAGCUCUGAAUUAGUCAACAAGUGAUGGCACACAGUUUGAAUGUGUGAACUGCCUCCACUGAAAGAUUGGGUAUGAGAUAAUGUCAAGUGAUAUGAAAGAUCUGUCUGACCAGUGAUGGUGGUUACAAUAAGUGCUGCUGGUUAUGACUUGUGUAUGUGUGAACUCCUCAAAGUGAUGAAAUGCUGCUUUUUCACUUAUCAAAGCAAUUCAAUGAAAAGGACCAUAAUAGAUAGCAAAGACAAGUCAGAGGGCAAUGGCAGGCAAAGAACUAAAGAAGAUAGUUUCCGAGAUUAGGAGGGAAGUGUUGAACAUGUAGAUUUUAUGGGGACUUAUGGAGAUGAUAGUGGGUAAGGAGACUAAUACCAGUGGGAACUUUUCUCCCAGAGCUAAUAACUGCUUUGGCAGGAUUGCAGUGCAAGGUUUAAAUAUCCCCUCCCACCGGACCAGAAGCCCAAUCCUGAUUAGCUUCCCCCACAGGAGCGAUUUUAAACUUUAAAGAAAACAAAGCUCACAGGGCCAAAGCUGUGUGUUUAAUGUAAUAUAAUAUGCAGUUUGGCCCUGAGAAAGGUUGAAUGGCAAUAAAAGGGAAGAUGAUAAAGGAACAAGCAAGAUUAGAGGGCAAUAGGGGUGUUGGCCAAUGAAGUGAAAAUGUUUAUAGAUUCUGACCCUUAUUAAGUAAAAGUAGGUUGUUAUCAAUUUUAAGUUGCAGUUUCACUUCUAAAUGUGUGCAGUGUUUUGUUUUUUUUAACGGAUCAAACAAAGCAUUCAGUAGUGGUCUCAACCAACAAUAAAAUGCUUGGAAUGUGUUUGCUGAGGCCAUGUAAAUAUCAGACCCUGAAUUUCAAAGAGAGGUAUGAAGUAAUCCUGCCAACAGAGUCCCUGUGUUACACUCAAGAUGCUUCUAAAAUGUACAGCAUUCUCUAGUAUUAACAGGGUGUUCAGAUGUGACUUGUCAUGUACUGUACUCAAAGGUUCAUUGAUCAGUGACUGUAUUGUACUGUAUGAAUAAUCAUAGAUUGCCUUGUAUUGUUUAUAAUAAGACUGUACCAAGUACCACACGGAUUUCCACGUUCCAAGUCUGUCAGUAACGCAUGUUGCCAGUUAGAUCCUAAAACUAUGUGGUGCUAACUCUUCCAUAUCCAAUGGUGCUUUUGUGGAUGCUAACUGCUGACAUGCUGGGGGGGGAAGCUUGAAGUUGAAAAGUCUCAUUUGUCUGUUUGUAAAAGUAAAAAAUACAAAAACAAAAAUGUGAUUUAAACUUGAAUUGUUUCACGGUACCAUUGACAAUCCAGUGUUUUAUAUGUAUGUACUUUUUAUUGGAUUUUUCAGCUGAUUCUUCAAAAAGCAGCUCUCAUCAUUUCUGCUUUGAAAGAGCCUGUAUUUCACCCAGCAACCGUUUAUCCAUGUUUAAUUGUUAGUCACUGCUUAUCCCAGAAUCUGUUAGAAUCAGGUGGAUCCUAAGCCUGCUUGUGCAGUUUGAAAAAUUGUCAACUAAGUUCUGCCCUUUUGUCAUACAGUCAUAGGCCCUGAAAAGGUGAUGAUCUUGUUGAAACACCUGUGUAAAAGCAGGAUCUUGUAUAUUCCAGUAUCUCAUACCUGAUAGCCCAGAUCAUCCUGCUUAUAAUAAACCACAGGGCCAUUUCACAGAUUGCACUAAAUCAGGUGUGGGUUUGUUACUGCAUGUACAAUCAGCAGGGAGCUGCAGUUAAUCAUCACACCAUAACUAAUAAUAGAAUCUAUUAUUCUAGGUUCUGUAAUAAGAGAGACUAUUCAGCCUACAAGGACUGAAGAGGGCCUCCUAGGCCAAGCCCCUGCUUGAUGCAGGAAUUCCAGACCUGGCACACUCCCAACUGGUGGUUGUUGCCUGUGUUUGAAGAUCUCCAGCGAGGGAAAGCUCUUGAAAAUUGGUUCUAUUGUCAAACUGUUUUCAUCAUUAAAAGUUUCUCCUAAUGUUCAGCUGGAAUCUUAUCCCCCUUUAUCUUAAGCUGAUUAGAUCUAGUCCUGCUCUAUGGGGCAGCAGAGAACAAAUCCUUGUCUUCUUCUUUGUGACAAUCCUUUUGGUAUUUGAAGAGUUCUGUCAUGCCCCCUUCAUUCUCUUCUCCAGGUCAAACAUGCUCAAUUCCUUGAUGUUGUUGGCUACAACUCCCAGCAUCCCCAGCUGCAAUGGCCUUUGGCCAGGGAUUGUGGGAGUUGUAGUCAACAACAUCUGGGAAUCCCUGUUACAGGGAACACUGCCUCUGACCAUCUUCUUUGUCCUCUUUUUGAACUCUUUCCAUUUUGUCUACAUCCUUCUUAAAAUGCAGUACCCAGCAUUGGACACAGUACUCCAGAUGAGGUCUGACUAGUUCAAGAUAAAGUAGAACUAUUACUUUUUACUACCAACGUUGGAGAAUUUAUUGCCUGGGGGUUGUUGAUGAUGAUGAUGAUGAUGAUGAUGAAUUCCCGAUUAGCCUUAUCUGACCAGAGCUUAGCAGUAGGGGCCAGAUUCUUGCAGUAGGGGCCAGAUUCUUGUCCAGGUUCAUUGCCCACUGAAUGGGAGAUGAAACACAGAUGACUCAAAAAUAAAGUUUAAAAGUGUAUUUGUAUCUUACCAACUUUAAAAUUGUUAUUACAAAUAUAGAUUUGACAAACAAAAAACACAAAUAUAAUUCACAACAGUACACCUGUUGUUCAAAGGAAGAGAUCUGGUCUUGUGGUCGCAAGCAUGAAUUGUCCCCUUUGCUAAGCAGGGUUCACCCUGGCUUGCAUUUGAAUGGGAGACAUCUGAGCACUGUAAGAUAUUUCCCUUAGGGAAUGGUGCUGCUCUGGGAAGAGCAUCUGCAUGCUUGUAUGCAGAAGGGUCCAAGUUCCUUCCCUGGCUUCUCCAGAUAGGGCUUAGAGACACUCUUGCCUUACAACCUUGGAGAAGCUGCUGCCAGUCUAUAUAGACAAUACUGAGCUAGAUGAACCAAUGGUCUGACUAGAUGGACCAAUUAUAUAAGGCAGCUUCCUAUGUGUGGUCUGGCCAGCAGCUUGGUUACAAUGACAAACUCUUAAUUUUCAAAUUGACAGGUAAGGUUUCUGCUGAUAACAAAUUACUGACAACAAACAACUGACAACAGUUGUCAACAAAUACGUUUGUUGUACUGACAGCAAACAAAUUUGUUGACAAGGUGGUUCCUUCUCCCAUUGUGUAAUCUGGCCACUAGUAUACUGCUCCUUUUUGCCCAAAGGCUUCUCAUAACGGCUUAGCCUCAUUCCUCUUUCUCCUCUUCCCCAACAAAGAUGUCUUAAAAUAACACCAACUACUGAAGAAGUUAAAGAAAUUUAUAAGCAGGUUUUUGGUCAAGCAAGCAAAUAUAGGCUAUCAUAGACAUAAUACUGCAAAGUCCCCUUGGAAACUGUAAUUCUGUUAAUGCAAUUUUAGGCUGCACUAGUAUUGCACUGUUGACUCAUGUUCCACUUGUGAUCAAAUGCAGAACUUUGCAUUUGUCUUUCUCAAAUUUCACGUUGUUAGUUUCAACUUGAGUUUUCCAUUCUGUUAGGUUAUGCUGAAUGUUAUGUGUACCUCAGGCAUUAACUAUCCCUCUCAACUUUGUGUCAUCAGCAAAUUUGAUGAGGAUUCCCUCUAUCCCUUCAUCUAAGUCAUUGAUAAAAAUGUUGAUUGCAAUACUUAGGGAUUUAGACAAAUUAAAAACCAAAUGUGGGGAAGAUGAUUUGUAAAGUAUUGUAACAACAACAACAAAAACACACUCAACAUUAUAAAUAGCCCAGGGCUGGCCUGUCAGUUGGACAGACUGGCAUGCAGAUAACUCUGAAUUUCCUGAUGCCUUGGAAAUGCAAUGAGCCAGCAGGCAAAGCACUGAUGAUAAAUUCAAGGAAGAAGCAGAGGAAUUAUGGUCCAAGUCUGUGGAUGUUGGGGAAAGAUUAUGCAGGACCUGGUACAAAUUUAAUGGUAUCACGCAAGAUAGCUUCUGAAAUGGUUAAAUUACUCUGAAGUACAUUAAAACAAGUGAUGUUAGAACCAUUCUGCAAAUAAUAAUGUACAAUUAAGUGAUAGAGAGUGAUAAAAAAAUUACACUGUAUAGUUUGACUGCAUAUGGCAAGAGGGAUGUCAUGUUUUUGAAUGCUACCACACAUUUUUAAAAACUGCUGUGAAUAAAGUGAACUAACACAGCAGGGAGAAGGCGAUACCAAACCAUUUUUCCUGAUGUGCUUGUUUACUACAUGCAUGAUUUAUUAUGAUAGAUUAUAUAGAUGAACACUCAAUACACUCCCACCUGCAAUCUGAAAUGAUACAGUUCUGGAUUCUACCACCUCUCUCUGCAUCAUGUGUAGAAAAAAGUGGUUCUUAAUUCUGUGAAAGAUGAUGUACAGUUAUAUAUUCCUCAUCCUGAGGUGCCUGGGCAAAUAGCUAAACAAAGGGGGGGAAAUAGCUUGCAGGCAUAAGAAAAAAUGUAAACAAGUAAAACUGAGAUCUCAUUUUAAAACAAAAAAAGCCCCAAAUGAUGCUUUUUUCCUCUCUUGCUGCACUUGCUAAAGAUGCAAACAUCCUUGCUCUAUUAGAUUUCCUAAAUUCUCAUUAAUUAGAGAGUAUUUUUAUUUUGCUGGGAUGAAAUUUUAAAUAAUGAGCUGCUUUUUGGAGGAAAAAAUAUAUAUUUUUAUGUCGGUUUGACAAGUCUACUUGCCCCAUUACUGAAUUUGCAUAUUGUUGUUUGCCACUGUUUGUUCUGUCUUACAAUAAAUUUGCUUACUUGUGUAGUCUUAA